rnacentral:rRNA from 1 species
UACGUAGGGGGCUAGCGUUGUCCGGAAUCAUUGGGCGUAAAGAGCGUGUAGGCGGUCCGGUAAGUCCGUUGUGAAAGUCAGGGGCUCAACCCUUGAAUGCCGGCGGAUACUGUCGGGCUAGAGUCCGGAAGAGGCGAGUGGAAUUCCCGGUGUAGCGGUGAAAUGCGCAGAUAUCGGGAGGAACACCAGUAGCGAAGGCGGCACUCUGGGCCGGAACUGACGCUGAGGAGCGAAAGCGUGGGGAGCGAACAGG